UUUGUGGGGUCGCAGCUGGUAAUAGAUAUAAAAAUACCACUAUUCAAUCGACAAUCAUCCCAGUUCUACAGGGUUAUUCCCAUACCGUUUCAAGAGGGUGGUACGGCUAUGCUGAACGAGUGCAAAGAAACUCUGGGUAAAGAAAUCAUGUGUGAAGGCAAUUUUCCUUGGAGAGAUGCGUCAACGAAUCAAUGCGAAUUGGCGCCCUUUAGACCUCACAUAGAUAUAAACUGCGUUUACGAUGAAACUGAACGAAUGCCUUAUUGGAUGCCACUACAAAUGCAAGGAAAUUGGUUGUUCAAGACGUUCUCAAAUAACACUGCACAUCUGAAAUGUUCCCAUAAGAAACAAACGAUAAUGGAACUUCCGCAGCAAGGGAUUUUCUCGUUGGAGGCGGAUUGUACAGCGAGAAUCGGUCAAGUGACGUUGGUAGCUGCUCAUAGAGUACGGAAUGAGGUAACAGCACAAUUUCAUUCCUUUCUUUUGAAGGACGUAAGCGAGGCUGAUAAGGAAACUAUCAAACCUAUCGGAGAUCUACUGAUUAAUCAUGAUAAAGCAAUCAAUCAAUUGAAGGAGUGUGUGGACAAAUUAAGAAACGAAAACGUGGAGUUAGGAGAACUGAAUUUCCACCACAUGUCGGGGCAUACAUCGUUAAUUUUAGUAUCUAUAGUUAUAGUAAUACUUAUAAUUUUAUUAAUAAGAAAAAUAAUGAUAAUCAGAAGAAUAGCUGCAAUACAAUUCCCACGGCCUGUAAAUGUUUAACAUGCAUUUUGCCGCCCGGGAGAAUGUUCAGAGAACAUAGAUAAAAGGUUAAGAAACAUUCUCUUGUAAUCGUUUGACUUAAUUUUUGAACAGUCUAAAAAUAAUAAUAUUAGAAAAAGAAACCAUAUGUAAGCAAUUCAGCGGCCUUGUAGCUCUGCGGCAGCGCAGAUGGUAAUCUAUUUUUAACGAUUAGAAAUUCCAAGCGGCCAUAAAAUCUAUUUGUGUGCACUGAUAAUAAAGGAUCAAUAAAGUCCACACAUACAGAUAGAUAUGCGCUCAGUAGGUAUCAUGCACUUAAGUGUUGGGACACAAGAUCCCUCCUAGCGUGCCCUUAGAAUAGAUAAGAAAGAUUGUGUGUCUGCGAUUAGGUUAAGUCAGAAUAGUUUAGGUAGCACUUAAGUAAGAAUUAUUCUUUAAUAAAAUCAGAUUUGAAAAUA